rnacentral:rRNA from 1 species
CUUAAAUUGAAGAGUUUGAUCAUGGCUCAGAUUGAACGCUGGCGGCAGGCCUAACACAUGCAAGUCGAGCGGAAACGAGUCUAUCUGAUCCUUCGGGUGACGUUAAUGGGCGUCGAGCGGCGGACGGGUGAGUAAUGCCUAGGA